UACGGAGGGUGCGAGCGUUGUCCGGAAUUACUGGGCGUAAAGGGCUCGUAGGCGGCCAACUAAGUCCGACGUGAAAUCCCCAGGCUUAACCUGGGAACUGCGUCGGAUACUGGAUGGCUUGAGUUCGGGAGAGGGAUGCGGAAUUCCAGGUGUAGCGGUGAAAUGCGUAGAUAUCUGGAGGAACACCGGUGGCGAAGGCGGCAUCCUGGACCGACACUGACGCUGAGGAGCGAAAGCCAGGGGAGCAAACGGG
rnacentral:rRNA from 1 species